GAUGAAGAACGUAGCGAAAUGCGAUACUUGGUGUGAAUUGCAGAAUCCCGUGAACCAUCGAGUCUUUGAACGCAAGUUGCGCCCGAAGCCAUCAGGUUGAGGGCACGUCUGCCUGGGCGUCACAUAUCGUUGCUCGAUGCCUAUCGCAUUGCGAUAGGACUUAGGGCGAAUGAUGGCUUCCCGUGAGCGUUGUUGCCUCGCGGUUGGUUGAAAAUCGAGUCCUUGGUAGGGUGUGCCAUGAUAGAUGGUGGUCGAGUUCGCACGAGACCGAUCAUGUGCAUGCUCCCCAAAAUAUGGCCUCUGUGACCCACACGCGUCUUUUGACGCUCAUGACGAGACCUCAGGUCAGGCGGGGCUACCCGCUGAAUUUAAGCAUAUCAAUAAGCGGAGGA
rnacentral:misc_RNA from 1 species